CUUGGCGACCAUAGCGCUUUGGACCCACCUGAAUUCCAUUCCGAACUCAGAAGUGAAACGAAGUA
rnacentral:rRNA from 1 species